GGUUGUAGCUCAGUGGUAGAGCACUUGCCUAGGAUGCUUGAGGCACUGGGUUCAAUCCCCAGCACCA
rnacentral:tRNA from 1 species